rnacentral:lncRNA from 1 species
ACAACUUUAAGGGGCUGCAUAUGACUUAAGCCUAAAAACAUUAAAACAUCAAAAGGUGUCUAUGCAUUGAUACAUAAUCACUAUUCUACAUGAACCAAAUCAUCUUAGAGUAGUGGAGUGAAGUGACUCUUAAGUUUUGGUGGAUCAUCUUUAUCGCUAAUAUAUCCCGCAUUGGCCUUGUAACUGUUGUACUUUCAUAAUAGUGUUUCAUAUGUUGUGCUAACAUAUCCCGCGCUGGAAUCUGUUUAAUAUGACGUAUUUCAUAGACUGCAAUUUCAAAAUAAUGUUCAUCAAUUAAAACAAUUUACAUGAUACAUGUUGAACUAGUUGAAAUCAGAUUGGAACAAAAAUGUGAACAUAACAAUUUAAGUAUAUGAUACAUAAUUGCAAUUACAAAGUAUCUUACUCUUUAAUCGAUACAUAAUAAUAAAAGGUGUAUCUGAUACUCAUUACAACUUGAUGAACUAAAAAAUCUGUCAAAAUUUUGUAUAUGAUACUAAGUAUAACAUCAUAUAUUCAUUAUGUGGUAUUUAAGUAUCAGGUAUAAACCAUGUUAAAAUAUGACACAAUUUUCUGCAUAUUACAACACAUCAUACAAUUUGAACUUAAUAAUUUGAUACAUUCAUAACAAAAAAUCAAAUAGAGAAAAAAAUUAGGAUUUUAUGUAUCAACAUAGUAGAUUUAAAUCAAGAUACAUAGCAAUAUGAGAAUCUCACUUUUCGGUCAAGGAUAUUGUAUUAAAUUUUUUGAAGUAACCAACAACGGGGGAUAUCAAACAUAAAAAAAAGUAUAAGUUAGGAAAUAGAUACCCAGGAUUGUCAUGCCUCGAGGCUACCCCUUGGACGUGGGCACGGGACCUAGGAUCACAAGUGACCCUAAGAUAAUCCUGCUAGCAUAAUCAUUAGCAUCCUAAAGAUAAACUGAGCAAUAAAACUGUAUGAAAGCUAAAUCAUAUGAAAGUCUGAUAUGAUAGGGAAUACCCAUAUACUGUUUAGAUAUAUGAAAACUGUGAGUUGAGUACAAAUAAAAGGUCAAACUCUAACACUAUAGCUGAAUCUAACUAUGUCUGAAAUAAAGCCUCUACUAACUAGAAAUACUGGGACAUGCCCCCAACUAGAUCUAGCAAAAACUAAAACUAAAGCUAAAAGCGAUAAACAUAGCCAUGUCACUAGUCAUCGAAUUAGAAUAAGGACUCACCACUGAUGCUGCUAAACUGAAG